CCCACAGUUGCUGGAGCCAUGAGGCUGCCUCUGCCCUUGGUCUCCCUGCUCUGCGCCUUCACCUGCUGCAGAGCCCAAGUGUCCCAGAGCCCCGCAGCGCUGGUGACCCGGGAAGGGGACCGCUCCACCAUGGCCUGUACUUACUCCAACACUUACCGCCCCUUCCAGUGGUACCGGCAGGUCCCCUCGGGGGAGAUCACCCACCUCCUCACUGUGGCCGCCAGCCGGAAUGCCACGGAGGGGCGAUUCACAGGGGAGAGCCGGGAAGACGGCAAGAAGUGCUUCCUGAACCUGUCCCAGGCCCGGCUGGGGGACUCCGGCCGCUACUUCUGUGCGGUGGAUGCACAGUGACACGGCAGAGCCGGGCGCUGCGCAAAAACCCCGCCCGCCCUAGGCAGCGGGGGCGGGCGGGACACGGAAAGUACCCGUGACCAGUGGGGCCAGAUCCUUACUGCAUGUAAAUUGUCUCUGUUUCUACUGAUUGCACUGGCCCGGAUCCACCGUUAGAAUCAAUGGACCAAGUGAAGGGGCCCGAGAUUCACUGCAUAUAAGAAGGGGUAGGGGCAGCUCGGGUCCCGCAGGAACAGUGAGAGGAGAAACGUGGGAUCAGGGAGAGAGAGCCUUCCUCCCUCAGGCUUGCCCUCAGGUCUUCUCUGGCAUCUCCCCGCCCCACCCGCCCUCCCACCCCAGCGUGGCCUGCUCCGGGUCCCUCUGUCAUUCACACAAAGCCU